rnacentral:rRNA from 1 species
CCUACGGGUGGCUGCAGUGGGGAAUAUUGGACAAUGGGGGGAACCCUGAUCCAGCCAUGCCGCGUGUGUGAAGAAGGCCCUCGGGUUGUAAAGCACUUUCAGUGAGGAAGAACGCCUGGUGGUUAAUACCCAUCAGGAAAGACAUCACUCACAGAAGAAGCACCGGCUAACUCCGUGCCAGCAGCCGCGGUAAUACGGAGGGUGCGAGCGUUAAUCGGAAUUACUGGGCGUAAAGCGCGCGUAGGUGGCUUGAUAAGCCGGUUGGGAAAGCCCCGGGCUCAACCUGGGAACGGCAUCCGGAACUGUCAAGCUAGAGUGCAGGAGAGGAAGGUAGAAUUCCCGGUGUAGCGGUGAAAUGCGUAGAGAUCGGGAGGAAUACCAGUGGCGAAGGCGGCCUUCUGGACUGACACUGACACUGAGGUGCGAAAGCGUGGGUAGCAAACAGGAUUAGAUACCCCAGUAGUC